rnacentral:lncRNA from 1 species
GGGGGAAGACAUCUUGGUUGCACCCCUCACUGCAUCUUGACUAAUUGCUUCCAACUCCUCCGGGGAGCUUCCAGGGACAGUCUCAUUGUUCUCUUCUCAUCAGGGGUCAGCCCCAUUAACCAUUUGUUAAUUUCUCCUGAACAGAUCAAGCAAAAGUAGAUAAUCUGCCUGAAGAAUUAGUGCGUAGUGCUGAAGAUGGUAAAUAUCUCUAUGUGUUUGCAUGUCUGUUUGUUUAUUAAGUUCUGGGGUGAUUUGGGCCGUCACUGGCAUGCAGCUGUUGGGUAAAUAGAAGAACGUCAUUUGCUAGUAUGUAGUGCGUAAGUUAUAAAAGCAUUCUGACAUGGUACAUUUAACAUUGUCUAUAUUCUUAAAGCUUCUGCUGGUGAUAACAUGAGGAUUUCUAUAAAUAGGAAAUUAUAUUUCUGUGGGUAUGAGCUAAUUCGGGUUAACUUUGACUUGCAGAACUUACUGAAGGCAGAAAGAGUAGAGUGGGCUCUUGGGUUAAAUUGUUCUUGUAUUUGAUUCGCAAAUCUCAGCAUUUAGAUCUUUCUAGACACAACUGAUAGAGUCUUUACUUCAAAGGAAAGGGCCCCAGGACCAGGGUAGAUAAACCUGCUUAUGAUUAUAUAAAUGAGUUUGGAAUGACAGUGGGAUUCAUUGAUUUCAAAUAUUAACGAGCCAGAAGCUCUUGAAGCAUGUCAAUGGAUUAUAUAUUACUUUUGUUAUAAAAGUAACUGUCUAGUAGAGCCUUGGUGGGGGAAGGGCAGGAAUGAGUCUUAUCCUUACAGUUUAGCACUUAAAAAACAAAUGAUUCAUAUUUGCUGACAGCUCUUAAUUUUUGUAAGCUGUUCUUGCAAUAAUCAUAAAAAUGUGUACUUACUAUGCAAAACACAGCGUAAGACCUCAGAGGGUAUAUAUAUACCCUCUCUCUCUCUCUAUAUAUAUAUAUAUAACUAUAUAUAUAUAACUAUAUAUAUAUAACUAUAUAUAUAUAUAUAUAUAAAACUAUAUAUAUAUAGUUAGUUAGUUAGUUAGGUUUUCUCAUUUUAUAUUUAUUUUCAACCACCUUGUUGAAAGAGAUGAGGAAAUAAUUUUAGUUUUUAUUUUGAAGAUUAAAAAAUACUGCUCAGAAAAAUGAGGUGGCCUUUUUGUAAUCACAUAGCUCAUCAGUCAGCAAGAGAGCAGGGUGCGUGUGACAACUUGGAUGCCCUUGGUUCAGUGGUUCCUUCCUAUGUCCCUGCUGAGCUUGGGUAGCAUACAGGAAAGACAACUCAGGUCUCCUACCCUGGGUCUUAGGUUUUUAAUUAAACGGGAGGCUUUAAAGAGGCUAAUGAACAACCCCACUGAGACUCGACAAGCUGAAAACCUGUCAGAGGAACUCUGCAACUUCAGUUGUAAAACUAGCAUUUGAGUUUGACUUUCAUAAAACUAGCAUUUGAGUUUGACUUUCAUGUCUGUUUAAUCCUUAAUUGAAAUGGUAUUUAUUCUCAAUGUUACUCUUCUGGGUAGAUCAAAAAGCCGACCAAGAACCAGAUACAAAUGAAUGUAUACCAGGAAGUGAGUAGCAGGACAUUUCUCAUAAAUAACUAAACAUUUCAUACUAUAUAACAUUAAAUAUGCUAAUGAACUAAUCCAUUAAUACCAUAGCACUUAUUAUUACUAUAUCUCCAAAGCUGGC